AUACGGAGGGUGCAAGCGUUGUUCGGGAUCACUGGGCGUAAAGGGCGCGCAGGCGGUUUGGUAAGUCAGAUGUGAAAGCCCACGGCUCAACCGUGGAAGUGCAUUUGAAACUGUCAGACUUGAGUACUAGAGGGGAAAGUGGAAUUCCCGGUGUAGAGGUGAAAUUCGUAGAUAUCGGGAGGAAUACCGGUGGCGAAGGCGACUUUCUAGCUAGAUACUGACGCUGAGGCGCGAAAGCGUGGGGAGCAAACAGGAUUAGAUACCCUAGUAGUCC
rnacentral:rRNA from 1 species